CUUAACGAGGUUAUCUUAACGGUUAAGGACCUUGGGGCAUAAAGGUUGGGCGCCGAGACAUAGAGAUGUCACCCAACAACAGGAGUCAUAUGUGAUAUGAUUAGCAAAAGUUGCUUACCGAUCUACCUCGUUUGCUAGCGGUGAUGCUAAAGCUCACUAGUAGACUUGUUAGUUGUGGAUCCUGAAUCACUAAGUUUCAAUAGAGGGAUAUUGAUUUUAGUGGGAGUAGAUUCUGUUAAAAUAGUUUAAUGUAAUUUGCUCUAUCAUGGAUAUGUUUGUCUUAGUGUAUUUUGCAUUACUUUUGUUGUAGAUUAAAUGGC
rnacentral:lncRNA from 1 species